rnacentral:rRNA from 1 species
UGGGGAAUAUUGCACAAUGGGCGCAAGCCUGAUGCAGCGACGCCGCGUGAGGGAUGACGGCCUUCGGGUUGUAAACCUCUUUCAGCAUCGACGAAGCGCAAGUGACGGUAGAUGCAGAAGAAGCACCGGCCAACUACGUGCCAGCAGCCGCGGUAAUACGUAGGGUGCGAGCGUUGUCCGGAAUUACUGGGCGUAAAGAGCUCGUAGGUGGUUUGUCGCGUUGUUCGUGAAAACCGGGGGCUUAACCCUCGGCGUGCGGGCGAUACGGGCAGACUGGAGUACUGCAGGGGAGACUGGAAUUCCUGGUGUAGCGGUGGAAUGCGCAGAUAUCAGGAGGAACACCGGUGGCGAAGGCGGGUCUCUGGGCAGUAACUGACGCUGAGGAGCGAAAGCGUGGGGAGCGAACAGG